CGUGAGGAACCUGCCUUUCAGAGGGGGGACAACAGCUGGAAACGGCUGCUAAUACCGCAUAACACAUAGGUGUCGCAUGGCAUUUAUGUCAAAGAUUUAUCGCUGAGAGAUGGCCUCGCGUCUGAUUAGCUAGUUGGUAGGGUAACGGCCUACCAAGGCGACGAUCAGUAGCCGGACUGAGAGGUUGGCCGGCCACAUUGGGACUGAGAUACGGCCCAGACUCCUACGGAAGGCAGCAG
rnacentral:rRNA from 1 species